UUAUUCUCUAAAUAGUGUGCUAAUGCAUGGAAAACUUCCAAAGUGGCUGUCAUCUUGAGUGACACAGUUAUAGCCUGUGUGCAAACCCUUGAUAAGAAAAUGGAAAAGAAAAAAAAAUCAUCAAGAUAAAAAAAUUGCCUGAAGAUAAUGAAGUAUUUGAGCUGAGAUCCUACCUUCCUGUAUAACAAGAACCUUAACAUCACAGUCAGCUCUUGAUUAUCUGAGCCAGACAGACUGGUUUGAAGAGCAAGAUAUAGCAGUGACCUGGAUUCUGGAUGGUUUAGAGAAUCACCAGGAAGUCAGGAACAAAGAGUUCCUGGGCAGCUGGCACCACAGUGCAGAUCAUGACAUGGAACACAGAGGAAUGGCUGCUGCCAUCUUUGACCAUGGGAUGCCACAUCUCGAAACACCAACUCUGCUGGUCCCCAGAGCCCAGAUACAGCUACUUGUGCUUCUAUCACCGUGUCCCUGGAAACAGAUGUUGCUGCUAUUACUGGAACUGCCAUAAAAGAUUCUCUGCUGCCUGGCUUUUUUGCUCCCCAAUCUGAGCUUAUGAUAAAUGCCUCACUGUUGCUGCAAGGAGGGGGCCAAUACCCAGGACAACAGGACAGCCAAAAACAAACAAACAAACAAAUGAACAAACAGAAAAGUUCCAGACUCUGGUGAAACACAUGUUUCAGGCCCCUCAGCAAGAGUGGACAAGACAAACAUCUUUACAAGCCCCUCCCCAAAAGGUGCCUUGAGCUGUCCAGAAGAGACAAACCGAAGCCCUGCACUGGAAGGGAGGAAAAGAGAGAGGAACCCCUCCCCCCAGCAAGGAGCGGAGUUAGCUGAAAACUGCACCGAUCCCCUCUUGGGCUCUUCCUUGGCUGCUGCCCCUUCGGCGCAACUGCCCUUCCUCUUGGGCUUCGGCAGUGGGAAGAGAGCGAGCCGGGUGCUUUUGAGCUGCAGUGCGCGGAGAGGCUUCGCGAGGCUGGGCUCAGUAUUCGUUAAUGAUCAAACAAUUAUUUAUGUUGACAGCCCACAUCUCCCUUUCCGUAGUUUCCAUCUGAAGACUUAGCUCUACCCUUCUGGUGCAGAACAGGAAAGCCUAAUCUGUCUUCCCUGAGAUUCAAGAAAUUCAAGAGGCUGCUCCUCCUGGGGCCUCUGUCGGUAUCCUCCUUGUUGCUCCUAGUUAAACUCUUAUUCCUCAGGUAAGAUGGUGCUGAGUCUACUCACCAUCGGACUGUGGUGUCUAGUAUUGGACACCACAUCCCUGAUGUGCCCUGACACCUCAGUGCUCUCCCACAUAGAACCUAGUGGGCACUGUGUCCCCGCAUCUAUCUGAAGAACUGCUCAAGAGGCUUUGUGGGAGGUCUAGCUCCUCCUCACCCCCUCCAGGCUUGACAUGCCUCCACCCCCACCACCCCGUACCCUUCGCAGCAUACUUCCAGUCAGGCAGCAAUCAGCUUGCACCUGAGAGGGAUCAGCUGUGGUGACUGAGGCUGGCUUGCUCUUGCAGCCCCAGGAACACAGAGAUUCGUGCUGAAGAACCAAAUGGUUUCUACAGUACAAGCAGGCGCCAGGGACUCCGCAGGAGGCAUCACUGGCACCUUCUAAUUGAUGAGCAGUCCAGCUCUGAAGCUGUGGGCUCUAAAGCCAGAUACCUCCUCCAGGUGACUCUGAUCUUCCUCUCCCAGCUGAAUAGAGUGAACUUCAGCGUUUCUGGCCUCCAGUUCCUGAACUCUGCUUCUUCCAAGGCAGUUCAAGUUUUAGCUUAGGCAUCGCCUUCUCCGGGAAGCUCUUCCUGACCCCCAUUGCUACCCACAGUGAGUCACUUGCUCUCUGUUCCUCACUUCCACGAUGUUUCCUCCUGUCUCCAUCAUUCUACUCAUUAGCCCAGGUGGCAAUUAUUUGUUGUGGUGUUUGUUGUAGACAAAGACAGUCUUGUUUUUUUGGUUUUGGCAUUUUGCUACUAAAUGUGUUUUUGAUAAAUGAAUAAAUAUAAUAACACCACAAUAGCAGCUAAAAAUUAUUUAUUGACCAUUCACUAUGCAAAUGCACAUGCAUUUUCUUAAGUAUUCCAAUAACACAGUGCCAUGGUUAUUAUCUCAGUUUUACAGAUGUAGAAACAGGCUCACGUGAAUUAUGUAACUUGUUCAAGGCCAUAAUAGCAGUUUGUGGUGAGUCUGGGACUUAAACCUAGGUCUUUUAAAAAAAUUAUUAUUCCAAAGUCUUGUUUUAAACUUUGUAAUAUGAAUGUUUAUCCCAAAGAUUUUAAGCACUCCUGAAUGUUAUCUCUUACAUCUAAGAAGAUAGGUAGUUCUCAGAAAAAAUCAAUUGCUUAGAAUGCCUUUUGCAUAGAACUGCUGCUAAUAUUUCUUUUUGCCAGUAAUAGAACUUAGACUCAUAUUAGGCAGUGCAAAGUAGUGGUUAAGUACUCAGACUUUGGAGUCUGCCAGACCUGAGCUCAAAUGCUAGCCCUGAUACUGGAAUCUUGUGUAAAUUACCAUAACUUGCCCAAAUCAUAGUUUGCUUAUACAGUAUCUAAAAAGGGGCUAAACUAUGUUGGAGAAAUGAAACUGUUGUUUACAGAUGCCAUGAUUGUGUGCUUAUAAAAUCUAAAAUAAUCUGCAAACUAUGGUAGGCUGAAAAAUGUACCUCCAACCCCACCUCCCACUCAGGAUAUCAGGUCCUAAUUUCUGGAAACUAUAGAUGCUACCUUAUUUGAAAAAAGCUUCUUGGCAAAUGUUGUGCCAAACCCCCGAUUUGCCUCAGUAGGGAAAGCACCAGGUUCACAAGGCCAAAGAAGAAACCCAGAUGUGGGGUUCUAUUAGGAGCUCACACACAGGGGAGAGAGUCCAGUGGCAGUGGGCUGGGCAGGAGACCUGCCUUACCUACAGCAAUGGUCCAGUGGCAGUGGACAGGACAGCAUAACCACAUGGCCUAGUGGCAGUGACCUGGGCAGGAGAACCACAACUUCCUUUCUAACUGUAAUAAAAUUAGAAAAGUUUGCCAAUGUUACAAAAUAAAGUCCAGAAAUAGACUCAUAUAUCUAAUUACCUGAUUUGUGAUUAAGGUAGUGCAUAGGAAAGAAGGCAUAGUUUGUUUAUUAAAUGUCGCUCCAUCAUGCGCUUUAUACAGCAUUUUCACUUAACAGCCUCCCUCUAAUGACCUCCACCUGGUAAUCUUUAUUUAACCCAAAACUCAAGGCCUCAGUCCCCUGUACAGAUCAGCCUGUGUCCCACAGGACUGGCCGGGGGGCUCUCAUGUUUGUGAUAGAAGAGGAAUGAAUCUCCAAGUUGGCCACUACUGGAUUCCCUAGCUCAGCACAAACAUUCAGGUGCACCUGCCACACAGGGUCAUUCUAAGAGUAUGUUUAAAUCAUUGCUAUUAGGUGCAUUUACCCUAUAGCAGAUGUAAUUAAGUUAGAGAUCUUGUGUUGGGGAGAUGAUCCUGGAUUAUUUGGGUGGGGCAUAAAGACCAUCACAUGUGUCCUUAUAUGACGGAGGCUGAAGUUGGUCAUACACACAGACAGAAGAGAAGGCCAUGUGAAGAUGGAGGCAGAGAUUGGAAUGAUGUGGUCACAAGGAAUGCUGGAGCCACCAGAAACUGGAAGAGGCAAGAAACAGAUUCUCCUCCAGAGCAUCUGGAAGGAGUAUGGCCCUGCUGACACCUUGAUUGUAGCCAAGAUUUUGGACUUCUGGCCUCUAGAGCUAUGAGAGAAUAAAUUUCUAUUGCUUUAAGCCAAUAAAUUUGUGCUAAUUUAUUGCAGGAGGCUUAGACAAUUAAUACACAAACUAUUAGAAUUAAUAAAUGUCAUUAGUAAAGUUGUUGGAUACAAGGUCAAUAUACAAAAAUCAACUGUAUUUCUAUCAGCAACUAACAAAUAAAAAUUAAAAUGUUAUAUUUAUAAUAGCAUCAAUAAACAUCAAAUUCCUAGGAUUAAAUAUAAUAAAUGAUGUACAACUUCAAAAUAUUAUUGAGAGAAAUUAAAAAUGACUUCAACAAAUAAAAAGAUAUAUUAUAUUCAUGAAUUGGAAACUCAACAUUGUCCUAAGAUGUCAUUUCUUCCCAGAUUAAUAUAUUGAU
rnacentral:lncRNA from 10 species